rnacentral:rRNA from 1 species
UGGGGAAUAUUGGACAAUGGGGGCAACCCUGAUCCAGCGAUGCCGCGUGAGUGAUGAAGGCCUUCGGGUUGUAAAGCUCUUUUGCACGCGACGAUGAUGACGGUAGCGUGAGAAUAAGCCCCGGCUAACUCUGUGCCAGCAGCCGCGGUAAUACAGAGGGGGCUAGCGUUGUUCGGAAUGACUGGGCGUAAAGGGCGCGUAGGUGGCUCUACAAGUCAGAUGUGAAAGGCCUAGGCUUAACCUGGGGAUGGCAUUUGAGACUGUAAAGCUUGAGUCCGGGAGAGGAUAGCGGAAUUCCUAGUGUAGAGGUGAAAUUCGUAGAUAUUAGGAAGAACACCGGUGGCGAAGGCGGCUAUCUGGAACGGAACUGACACUGAGGCGCGAAAGCGUGGGGAGCAAACAGG